UUAAGUUAUUAAGGGCGCACGGUGGAUGCCUUGGCACUAGAAGCCGAUGAAGGACGUUACUAACGACGAUAUGCUUUGGGGAGCUGUAAGUAAGCUUUGAUCCAGAGAUUUCCGAAUGGGGAAACCCAGCAUGAGUUAUGUCAUGUUAUCGAUAUGUGAAUACAUAGCAUAUCAGAAGGCACACCCGGAGAACUGAAACAUCUUAGUACCCGGAGGAAGAGAAAGAAAAUUCGAUUCCCUUAGUAGCGGCGAGCGAAACGGGAAGAGCCCAAACCAACAAGCUUGCUUGUUGGGGUUGUAGGACACUCUAUACGGAGUUACAAAGGACGACAUUAGACGAAUCAUCUGGAAAGAUGAAUCAAAGAAGGUAAUAAUCCUGUAGUCGAAAAUGUUGUCUCUCUUGAGUGGAUCCUGAGUACGACGGAGCACGUGAAAUUCCGUCGGAAUCUGGGAGGACCAUCUCCUAAGGCUAAAUACUCUCUAGUGACCGAUAGUGAACCAGUACCGUGAGGGAAAGGUGAAAAGCACCCCGGAAGGGGAGUGAAAUAGAACCUGAAACCGUGUGCUUACAAGUAGUCAGAGCCCGUUAAUGGGUGAUGGCGUGCCUUUUGUAGAAUGAACCGGCGAGUUACGAUUUGAUGCAAGGUUAAGCAGUAAAUGUGGAGCCGUAGCGAAAGCGAGUCUGAAUAGGGCGUUUAGUAUUUGGUCGUAGACCCGAAACCAGGUGAUCUACCCUUGGUCAGGUUGAAGUUCAGGUAACACUGAAUGGAGGACCGAACCGACUUACGUUGAAAAGUGAGCGGAUGAACUGAGGGUAGCGGAGAAAUUCCAAUCGAACCUGGAGAUAGCUGGUUCUCUCCGAAAUAGCUUUAGGGCUAGCCUCAAGUGAUGAUUAUUGGAGGUAGAGCACUGUUUGGACGAGGGGCCCCUCUCGGGUUACCGAAUUCAGACAAACUCCGAAUGCCAAUUAAUUUAACUUGGGAGUCAGAACAUGGGUGAUAAGGUCCGUGUUCGAAAGGGAAACAGCCCAGACCACCAGCUAAGGUCCCAAAAUAUAUGUUAAGUGGAAAAGGAUGUGGCGUUGCCCAGACAACUAGGAUGUUGGCUUAGAAGCAGCCAUCAUUUAAAGAGUGCGUAAUAGCUCACUAGUCGAGUGACACUGCGCCGAAAAUGUACCGGGGCUAAACAUAUUACCGAAGCUGUGGAUUGUCCUUUGGACAAUGGUAGGAGAGCGUUCUAAGGGCGUUGAAGCAUGAUCGUAAGGACAUGUGGAGCGCUUAGAAGUGAGAAUGCCGGUGUGAGUAGCGAAAGACGGGUGAGAAUCCCGUCCACCGAUUGACUAAGGUUUCCAGAGGAAGGCUCGUCCGCUCUGGGUUAGUCGGGUCCUAAGCUGAGGCCGACAGGCGUAGGCGAUGGAUAACAGGUUGAUAUUCCUGUACCACCUAUAAUCGUUUUAAUCGAUGGGGGGACGCAGUAGGAUAGGCGAAGCGUGCGAUUGGAUUGCACGUCUAAGCAGUAAGGCUGAGUAUUAGGCAAAUCCGGUACUCGUUAAGGCUGAGCUGUGAUGGGGAGAAGACAUUGUGUCUUCGAGUCGUUGAUUUCACACUGCCGAGAAAAGCCUCUAGAUAGAAAAUAGGUGCCCGUACCGCAAACCGACACAGGUAGUCAAGAUGAGAAUUCUAAGGUGAGCGAGCGAACUCUCGUUAAGGAACUCGGCAAAAUGACCCCGUAACUUCGGGAGAAGGGGUGCUCUUUAGGGUUAACGCCCAGAAGAGCCGCAGUGAAUAGGCCCAAGCGACUGUUUAUCAAAAACACAGGUCUCUGCUAAACCGUAAGGUGAUGUAUAGGGGCUGACGCCUGCCCGGUGCUGGAAGGUUAAGAGGAGUGGUUAGCUUCUGCGAAGCUACGAAUCGAAGCCCCAGUAAACGGCGGCCGUAACUAUAACGGUCCUAAGGUAGCGAAAUUCCUUGUCGGGUAAGUUCCGACCCGCACGAAAGGCGUAACGAUUUGGGCACUGUCUCAACGAGAGACUCGGUGAAAUCAUAGUACCUGUGAAGAUGCAGGUUACCCGCGACAGGACGGAAAGACCCCGUGGAGCUUUACUGUAGCCUGAUAUUGAAAUUCGGCACAGCUUGUACAGGAUAGGUAGGAGCCUUUGAAACGUGAGCGCUAGCUUACGUGGAGGCGCUGGUGGGAUACUACCCUAGCUGUGUUGGCUUUCUAACCCGCACNNNNNNNNNNNNNNNNNNNNNNNNNNNNNACUUAUCGUGGUGGGAGACAGUGUCAGGCGGGCAGUUUGACUGGGGCGGUCGCCUCCUAAAAGGUAACGGAGGCGCUCAAAGGUUCCCUCAGAAUGGUUGGAAAUCAUUCAUAGAGUGUAAAGGCAUAAGGGAGCUUGACUGCGAGACCUACAAGUCGAGCAGGGUCGAAAGACGGACUUAGUGAUCCGGUGGUUCCGCAUGGAAGGGCCAUCGCUCAACGGAUAAAAGCUACCCCGGGGAUAACAGGCUUAUCUCCCCCAAGAGUUCACAUCGACGGGGAGGUUUGGCACCUCGAUGUCGGCUCAUCGCAUCCUGGGGCUGUAGUCGGUCCCAAGGGUUGGGCUGUUCGCCCAUUAAAGCGGUACGCGAGCUGGGUUCAGAACGUCGUGAGACAGUUCGGUCCCUAUCCGUCGUGGGCGUAGGAAAUUUGAGAGGAGCUGUCCUUAGUACGAGAGGACCGGGAUGGACAUACCUCUGGUGUACCAGUUGUCGUGCCAACGGCAUAGCUGGGUAGCUAUGUGUGGACGGGAUAAGUGCUGAAAGCAUCUAAGCAUGAAGCCCCCCUCAAGAUGAGAUUUCCCAACUUCGGUUAUAAGAUCCCUCAAAGAUGAUGAGGUUAAUAGGUUCGAGGUGGAAGCAUGGUGACAUGUGGAGCUGACGAAUACUAAUCGAUCGAAGACUUAAUCAA
rnacentral:rRNA from 1 species